rnacentral:rRNA from 1 species
UGGGGAAUAUUGGACAAUGGGGGCAACCCUGAUCCAGCCAUGCCGCGUGUGUGAAGAAGGCCUUCGGGUUGUAAAGCACUUUUGUCCGGGAAGAAAUCUCACGAUUUAAUACGUCGGGAGGAUGACGGUACCGGAAGAAUAAGCACCGGCUAACUUCGUGCCAGCAGCCGCGGUAAUACGAAGGGUGCAAGCGUUACUCGGAAUUACUGGGCGUAAAGCGUGCGUAGGUGGUUCGUUAAGUCUGCCGUGAAAGCCCCGGGCUCAACCUGGGAAUGGCGGUGGAUACUGGCGGACUAGAGUGCGGUAGAGGGUGGUGGAAUUCCCGGUGUAGCAGUGAAAUGCGUAGAGAUCGGGAGGAACAUCUGUGGCGAAGGCGGCCACCUGGACCAGCACUGACACUGAGGCACGAAAGCGUGGGGAGCAAACAGG